GAGGCCGUUCCUUGGAUAAGUUGGUACUAUGUCAACUGAAACUGUUAUUGGAAGUGCUAAGGUCAGAGCCUGGUUCCUAAUAGUCCUAACGAGCUGGGCUUGGGCACCUGUCCUCCGUAGCCCACACAGGCAAGAAUUCUUAAAAGUCCGGGAAGGAAAAAGCCACCUUAGGAAAAGGAACAAAAAGGGCCAGUGACCCCCGUUCCCUCACCAAGUUCCCCAACAGAGUCCUAACAUAACGUUUGAGUUUAAAUAGAAGCAACUAGAAGUGGGUGAACGCAGGUAUACCUACUGGAAAGCUAUUGUAACUUUGUAGACAUCAGUAAUGAAUGAUUUGGACCAGAAUAAUAGCAAAGGACAUGAAAAUGUGUGGAAGGAUUUCAAAUAUGUAGAGUUUACUGGAUAACUGGAUGCAGAAGGAUCUCAAUGUGCAGCCCUGGCUGGCCUGAAAUUUACUCUGCAGACCCAGCUGGCUUUGACCUCUCAGAGAUCUGCCUCCCUCUUCCUCAGCAGCACAGGGAAACAGAAAAUAAUGAAAAACUGGGAAGCAACUGCUGCUGAAUACUCUCAAAAGGCUUAAAAUCGAGGGCAGCUUUCGUCCGCCCGGCUAGCUCAGUCGGUAGAGCAUGGGACUCUUAAUCCCAGGGUCGUGGGUUCGAGCCCCACGUUGGGCG
rnacentral:tRNA from 1 species